ensembl:lncRNA
GUGAGCUUAUUGCGGUGGAGUAUUUGCUGGCCCAGUCCAACAGAGGAGAUCUGCUGAGUGCGCCUGACGCAAUUGGCGCCAACCUGCCAGAGGGGCCGGAGGAAGUUCAGGAGGAUGAGUUUCCUGAUGAGACAAUACCUCAGGCCACUGAUAUUCUUUUCCCGUCUUCUUCUCCGGUAAUGAUGUGAUAGCCCUUUGAUAAUCUAUCAGAACAUCCUCCUCAUCGUUACCCGCUUAUCCGGGGUCGGGUGGCGACCUAUCUAUCAGAACAUUUUCACUGUAAAUCUAAUUUGAUAAGGGUAAUUCCUUUGUGUUACAUGGGCACAACAAAGUUCACCUCACUGUACUCUCAUUCACUUCUUUCAAAUAAUUCCCUUUAGGAACCUACGGCUGAAAGUGAAGGUGCAUCUCGGAGUCCUGUCAGCUCCCCAUUUGAGGACAGUGGGCCUAUCACUUCAACUCCGGAUAGUCGGUGUGAUCCCAGAGGCAUUCCCGGAUGGGAGGCAGUCGAUGCCUUGGCAGGGUACCUUGUCAGCCUCAACCGGACGAUAACUGCUCUUUCGAACCAAGAAAUAGCAGAUAUACUGAGGUUGUACUCCAGCCUGGAUGGAAUCGACAAGUCGGAAACGCAGUGGCUCUGCUCCAGGCCAACAAGCAGCCGAGAGGUACCUGCAAACAAUCAGCUUCAAGUAUAUGUGUGUAGCUGUGUGCAGAGGUGGGUAGGAACGCGCUACAUUUACUCCGUUACAAAUACUUGAGUAACUUUUUGGAUGAAUUGUAAUUUUAGGAGUAGUUUUAUUGCAACAUACUUUUACUUUUACUUGAGUAAAUAUUUGAAGAAAGAACGGUACUUUUACGCCGUUCCAUUUGGCUACGUGACGGUCGUUACUUUGUUUUUUUAGAUCUUUUCUUUUAUUACAUGCGAGAUCUAUUUCUAUCACGUGAAUAUUCCUUAGCCCAAUACCUCGGGGUCUUGUUCGCGAGUGAGGGUACUAUGGAGCGUGAGAUUGGCCGGAGAAUCGGCGCAGCGGGGGCGGUAUUGCGUUCGCUUUACCGCACCGUUGUAACGAAAAGAGAGCUGAGCCGCAAGGCAAAGCUC